rnacentral:rRNA from 1 species
CCUACGGGGGGCUGCAGUGGGGAAUAUUGCACAAUGGGGGAAACCCUGAUGCAGCGACGCCGCGUGAGUGAAGAAGUAUCUCGGUAUGGAAAGCUCUAUCAGCAGGGAAGAAAAUGACGGUACCUGACUAAGAAGCCCCGGCUAACUACGUGCCAGCAGCCGCGGUAAUACGGAGGGAGCAAGCGUUAUCCGGAUUUACUGGGUGUAAAGGGGGCGUAGACGGCGCUGGAAGUCAGGAGUGAAAGCCCAUGGCUUAACCAUGGUACUGCUCUGGAAACUGUGGAGCUUGAGUGCGGGAGGGGCAGGCGGAAUGCGUGGUGUAGCGGUGAAAUGCGUAGAUAUUAGGAGGAACACCGGUGGCGAAGGCGGCCUGCUGGACCGUAACUGACGUUGAGGCUCGAAAGCGUGGGGAGCAAACAGGAUUAGAUACCCUUGUAGUC